GACGUAGGGUGCGAGCGUUGUCCGGAUUUAUUGGGCGUAAAGAGCUCGUAGGCGGCUCGUCGCGUCGACCGUGAAAACCCGCAGCUUAACUGCGGGCUUGCGGUUGAUACGGGCGGGCUAGAGUUCGGUAGGGGAGACUGGAAUUCCUGGUGUAGCGGUGAAAUGCGCAGAUAUCAGGAGGAACACCGGUGGCGAAGGCGGGUCUCUGGGACGUUACUGACGCUGAGACGCGAAAGCGUGGGGAGCAAACAGG
rnacentral:rRNA from 1 species